CCGGCGCACGGGUGCGUAACGCGUAUGCAAUCUACCUUUCACAGAGGGAUAGCCCAGAGAAAUUUGGAUAUGUACCUUAUAGUAAUGUCAGUUGGCAUCGACAUGAUAUUAAAGAUUUAUCGGUGAAAGAUGAGCAUGCGUCCCAUAUGUAUGUUGGAUGGGAUGCGGCUUACCAAGGCAACGAUGGUUAGGGGUCCUGAGAGGGAGAUCCCCCACAUUGGUACUGAGACACGGACCAGACUCCUACGGGAGGCACCAGUGAGGAAUAUUGGACAAUGGGCGCAAGCCUGACCCAGCCAUGCCGCGUGCAGGAUGACGGUCCUAUGGAUUGUAAACUGCUUUUAUACAGGAAGAAACAGUUCUACGUGUAGAACCUUGACGGUACUGAUGGAAAUGGGAUCGGCUAACUCCGUGCCAGCAGCCGCGGUAAUACGGAGGAUCCCAAGCUUAUCCGGAAUCAUUGGGUUUAAAGGGUCCGUAGGCGGUCAGAUAAGUCAGUGGUGAAAGCCCAUCGCUCAACGGUGGAACGGCCAUUGAUACUGUCUGACUUGAAUUAUUAGGAAGAUGCUAGAAUAUGAUGUGAUGCGGUGAAAUGCUAUGAGAUUACAUGGAAUACCAAUUGCGAAGGCAGGUUACUACAUGUAUAUUGACGCUGAUGGACGAAAGCGUGGGAUGCGAACAGGAUUAGAUACCCUGGUAGUCCACGCCGUAAACGAUGGAUACAUGCUGUUGGGCGCAAGUUCAGUGGCUAAGCGAAAGUGAAUGGUAUCCCACCUGGGGAGUACGUUCGCAAGAAUGAAACUCAAAGGAAUUGACGGGGGCCCGCACAAGCGGUGGAGCAUGUGGUUUAAUUCGAUGAUACGCGAGGAACCUUACCAAGGCUUAAAUGUAGAUUGACCGGUUUGGAAACAGACUUUUCGCAAGACAAUUUACAAGGUGCUGCAUGGUUGUCGUCAGCUCGUGCCGUGAGGUGUCAGGUUAAGUCCUAUAACGAGCGCAACCCCUGUUGUUAGUUGCCAGCGAGUCAAGUCGGGAACUCUAACAAGACUGCCAGUGCAAACUGUGAAGAAAGUGGGGAUGACGUCAAAUCAUCACGGCCCUUACGCCUUGGGCUACACACGUGCUACAAUGGCCGGUACAGAGAGCAGCCACUGGGCGAGCAGGAGCGAAUCUAUAAAACCGGUCACAGUUCGGAUCGGAGUCUGCAACUCGACUCCGUGAAGCUGGGAUCGCAUGUCGCAGAUCAGCCAUGAUGCGGUG
rnacentral:rRNA from 1 species